rnacentral:rRNA from 1 species
GACGAACGCUGGCGGCGUGCUUAACACAUGCAAGUCGAACGGAAAGGCCCUGCUUUUGUGGGGUGCUCGAGUGGCGAACGGGUGAGUAACACGUGAGUAACCUGCCCUUGACUUUGGGAUAACUUCAGGAAACUGGGGCUAAUACCGGAUAGGAGCUCCUGCUGCAUGGUGUGGGUUGGAAAGUUUCGGCGGUUGUGGAUGGACUCGCGGCUUAUCAGCUUGUUGGUGGGGUAGUGGCUUACCAAGGCUUUGACGGGUAGCCGGCCUGAGAGGGUGACCGGCCACAUUGGGACUGAGAUACGGCCCAGACUCCUACGGGAGGCAGUAGUGGGGAAUAUUGCACAAUGGGCGGAAGCCUGAUGCAGCAACGCCGCGUGCGGGAUGACGGCCUUCGGGUUGUAAACCGCUUUCGCCUGUGACGAAGCGUGAGUGACGGUAAUGGGUAAAGAAGCACCGGCUAACUACGUG